AGUGAACGCUGGCGGUAGGCCUAACACAUGCAAGUCGAACGGCAGCACAGUAAGAGCUUGCUCUUACGGGUGGCGAGUGGCGGACGGGUGAGGAAUACAUCGGAAUCUACUUUUUCGUGGGGGAUAACGUAGGGAAACUUACGCUAAUACCGCAUACGCCCUACGGUUGAAAGCAGGGGAUCUUCGGACCUUGCGCGAUUGAAUGAGCCGAUUUCGGAUUAGCUGGUUGGCGGGGUAAAGGCCCACCAAGGCGACGAUCCGUAGCUGGUCUGAGAGGAUGAUAAGCCACACUGGAACUGAGACACGGUCCAGACUCCUACGGGAGGCAGCAGUGGGGAAUAUUGGACAAUGGGCGCAAGCCUGAUCCAGCCAUACCGCGUGGGUGAAGAAGGCCUUCGGGUUGUAAAGCCCUUUUGUUGGGAAAGAAAAGCAGCAGGUUAAUACCCCGCUGUUCUGACGGUACCCAAAGAAUAAGCACCGGCUAACUUCGUG
rnacentral:rRNA from 1 species